rnacentral:lncRNA from 1 species
UCAUUUUUCUCUUCCCCUUCACUGAAAUAUGCAGCAAAGAAAGGGUUUUGAAGCUGGAAAAUUUCAGCAACAUAUUUCCCUUGCUUGUAAGUGAUUUUAAUGUCUUUGCUUGAUGAUUUUUGUAUUUUUGGAACCCCUAAAGCAUAAGCUUUCAUAUGAGGGGACUUUUGUGCAAGAUGAUAAAGAGUCUAGGGUUUUGCCAUGAAUAUAUAUGUGUUGUUUGCUAUGUUUUUAUGGAAGAUUAUAAGUCCUAGUUGUCUAAUAAACAACUUUUGUGAAAGAAAUUGCAUGAAAAUACUUUAAAAAGGGCUAAAUUGCUAAGUUGUAAAAUGAGUUGUAAAUGUGUAAAAUAGUUGAAAUUAUGAGUUGCUAUAGUUAUGAAAAUGUUUCAUCUAGACUCAAGGAGUAAAUAAAUGUGAUAAAAAUUAAUUUACGAGCAUUGGGGCAAAAGUGCAAAUAUGCAAAAGUUUAGGGGUCAAAAUGAAAAUUUGUAAAAAUAUGAUUUUUAGACCCAUAUGAAUAUUGUGACUGAUUGGUAGGCUAAAUGUGAUGUUAUAGAUGAUGAAAAUUGAGAUUUGGACCUAGAACGGAAAGAAAUCGAUUUAUGGACGAGUAUGUCUUUUCACCUUUGUGGUAUCGAGGUAAGUUCAUGUGUAAAUAAGGUAGCAUAAUUGUUAUUUUUAAGUUAUUGAUGUUAAAUAUAUGAUGUGCUGAUUUUUAUCAUGA